UACGGAAGGCAGCAGUGGGGAAUAUUGCACAAUGGGCGAAAGCCUGAUGCAGCUAUGCCGCGUGUAUGAAGAAGGCCUUAGGGUUGUAAAGUACUUUCAUCGGGGAGGAAAAAACAAAACUAAUAAUUUUAUUUCUUGACGUUACCCGAAAAAGAAGCACCGGCUAACUCCGUGCCAGCAGCCGCGGUAAUACGGAGGGUGCUAGCGUUAAUCAGAAUUACUGGGCGUAAAGAGCACGUAGGUGGUUUUUUAAGUCAGAUGUGAAAUUCCCUGGGCUUAACCUAGGAACUGCAUUUUGAAACUGAAAUACUAGAGUAUCGUAGAGGGAGGUAGAAUUCUAGGUGUAGCGGUGAAAUGCGUAGAUAUCUGGAGGAAUACCUGUGGCGAAAGCGGCCUCCUAAACGAAUACUGACACUGAGGUGCGAAAGCGUGGGGAGCGAAACAGGGAUUAGGAUACC
rnacentral:rRNA from 1 species